rnacentral:rRNA from 1 species
GCAGUAGCCGCGGUAAUACGAAGGGGGCUAGCGUUGUUCGGAAUUACUGGGCGUAAAGCGCACGUAGGCGGAUAUUUAAGUCAGGGGUGAAAUCCCGCAGCUCAACUGCGGAACUGCCUUUGAUACUGGGUAUCUUGAGUAUGGAAGAGGUUAGUGGAAUUGCGAGUGUAGAGGUGAAAUUCGUAGAUAUUCGCAGGAACACCAGUGGCGAAGGCGGCUAACUGGUCCAUAACUGACGCUGAGGUGCGAAAGCGUGGGGAGCAAACAGGAUUAGAUACCCCCGUAGUCCCUGUCUCUUAUAC